AACACAUGCAAGUCGAACGAUGAUGCUCCAGCUUUGUUGGGGUGGAUUAGUGGCGAACGGGUGAGUAACACGUGAGUAACCUGCCCUCUUCUUUGGGAUAACGGUCGGAAACGGCUGCUAAUACUGGAUAUUCACUCAUUGGCGCAUGUUGGUGGGUGGAAAGGUUUUUUCUGGUGGGGGAUGGGCUCGCGGCCUAUCAGCUUGUUGGUGGGGUGAUGGCCUACCAAGGCUUUGACGGGUAACCGGCCUGAGAGGGUGACCGGUCACAUUGGGACUGAGAUACGGCCCAGACUCCUACGGGAGGCAGCAGUGGGGAAUUUUGCACAAUGGGCGCAAGCCUGAUGCAGCGACGCCGCGUGAGGGAUGAAGGCCUUCGGGUUGUAAACCUUUUUCGCUCAUGGUCAAGCCGCAGCUUUGGGUUGUGGUGAGGGUAGUGGGUAAAGAAGCGCCGGCUAACUACGUGCCAGCAGCCGCGGUAAUA
rnacentral:rRNA from 1 species